GACGAACGCUGGCGGCGUGCCUAAUACAUGCAAGUCGAACGCAGUGGGGACGGGUGAGUAACACGUGGGUAACCUCCCAUCAGAGGGGAUAACACUUGGAAACAGGUGCUAAACCGAUACUGAUGGAUGGACCCGGGGUGCAUUAGUUAGUUGGUGAGGUAACGGCCCACCAAGGCCACGAUGCAUAGCCGACCUUGGGGGGUGAUCGGCCAAACUGGGACUGAGACCAGGGCCAGAAUCCUACGGGAGGCAGCAGGAGGGAAUUUUCGGAAAUUGGCGGAAGGCUGAACGCGCAACGCCGCGUGAGUGAAGAAGGUUUUCGGAUCGUAAAGCUAUGUUGUAAGAGAAGCGGUAUCUUACCAGAAAGGGACGGCUAACUACGUGCCAGCAGCCGCGGUAAUAC
rnacentral:rRNA from 1 species